rnacentral:rRNA from 2 species
UUAAGUCGACCGCCUGGGGAGUACGGCCGCAAGGUUAAAACUCAAAUGAAUUGACGGGGGCCCGCACAAGCGGUGGAGCAUGUGGUUUAAUUCGAUGCAACGCGAAGAACCUUACCUGGUCUUGACAUCCACGGAAGUUUUCAGAGAUGAGAAUGUGCCUUCGGGAACCGUGAGACAGGUGCUGCAUGGCUGUCGUCAGCUCGUGUUGUGAAAUGUUGGGUUAAGUCCCGCAACGAGCGCAACCCUUAUCCUUUGUUGCCAGCGGUCCGGCCGGGAACUCAAAGGAGACUGCCAGUGAUAAACUGGAGGAAGGUGGGGAUGACGUCAAGUCAUCAUGGCCCUUACGACCAGGGCUACACACGUGCUACAAUGGCGCAUACAAAGAGAAGCGACCUCGCGAGAGCAAGCGGACCUCAUAAAGUGCGUCGUAGUCCGGAUUGGAGUCUGCAACUCGACUCCAUGAAGUCGGAAUCGCUAGUAAUCGUGGAUCAGAAUGCCACGGUGAAUACGUUCCCGGGCCUUGUACACACCGCCCGUCACACCAUGGGAGUGGGUUGCAAAAGAAGUAGGUAGCUUAACCUUCGGGAGGGCGCUUACCACUUUGUGAUUCAUGACUGGGGUGAAGUCGUAACAAGGUAACCGUAGGGGAACCUGCGGUUGGAUCACCUCCUU